AAUAGAUACCCAGGUAGUCCACGCCGUAAACGAUGAAUACUAGGUGUCGGAGGGUACCACCUUCGGUGCCGCAGCAAACGCAAUAAGUAUUCCGCCUGGGGAGUACGGUCGCAAGAUUAAAACUCAAAGGAAUUGACGGGGACCCGCACAAGCAGCGGAGCAUGUGGUUUAAUUCGAAGCAACGCGAAGAACCUUACCUAGACUUGACAUCUCCUGAAUUACUCGUAACGGAGGAAGCCCUUCGGGGCAGGAAGACAGGUGGUGCAUGGUUGUCGUCAGCUCGUGUCGUGAGAUGUUGGGUUAAGUCCCGCAACGAGCGCAACCCUUAUUGUUAGUUGCUACCAUUAAGUUGAGCACUCUAACGAGACUGCCGCGGUUAACGUGGAGGAAGGUGGGGAUGACGUCAAAUCAUCAUGCCCCUUAUGUCUAGGGCUACACACGUGCUACAAUGGCCGGUACAAUAAGAUGCAAUCCCGUGAGGGGGUAGCUAAACUCAAAAGCCGGUCCCAGUUCGGAUUGUAGGCUGAAACUCGCCUACA
rnacentral:rRNA from 1 species